rnacentral:rRNA from 1 species
UACGUAGGGGGCAAGCGUUGUCCGGAAUCAUUGGGCGUAAAGAGCGUGUAGGCGGCCCGAUAAGUCCGCCGUGAAAGUCCAGGGCUCAACCCUGGAAUGCCGGUGGAAACUGUCGGGCUGGAGUCCGGAAGAGGCGAGUGGAAUUCCUGGUGUAGCGGUGAAAUGCGCAGAUAUCAGGAGGAACACCAAUGGCGAAGGCAGCUCGCUGGGACGGUACUGACGCUAAGACGCGAAAGCGUGGGGAGCAAACAGG